rnacentral:rRNA from 1 species
UACGGAGGGGACUAGCGUUGUUCGGAAUUACUGGGCGUAAAGCGCACGUAGGCGGAUUUGUAAGUCAGGGGUGAAAUCCCGGGGCUCAACCUCGGAACUGCCUUUGAUACUGGUAGUCUCGAGUCCGGAAGAGGUGAGUGGAAUUCCGAGUGUAGAGGUGAAAUUCGUAGAUAUUCGGAGGAACACCAGUGGCGAAGGCGGCUCACUGGUCCGGUACUGACGCUGAGGUGCGAAAGCGUGGGGAGCAAACAGG